AGUGAACGCUGGCGGCAGGCCUAACACAUGCAAGUCGAACGGCAGCACAAGAGAGCUUGCUCUCUGGGUGGCGAGUGGCGGACGGGUGAGGAAUGCAUCGGAAUCUGCCCAUUUGUGGGGGAUAACCUCGGGAAACCGGGACUAAUACCGCAUACGACCUACGGGUGAAAGCAGGGGAUCUUCGGACCUUGCGCAGAUGGAUGAGCCGAUGCCGGAUUAGCUAGUUGGAGGGGUAAAGGUCCACCAAGGCGACGAUCCGUAGCUGGUCUGAGAGGAUGAUCAGCCACACUGGGACUGAGACACGGCCCAGACUCCUACGGGAGGCAGCAGUGGGGAAUAUUGGACAAUGGGCGCAAGCCUGAUCCAGCCAUGCCGCGUGUGUGAAGAAGGCCUUCGGGUUGUAAAGCACUUUUGUUGGGAAAGAAAAGCAGCCGGUUAAUACCCGGUUGUCAUGACGGUACCCAAAGAAUAAGCACCGGCUAACUUCGUG
rnacentral:rRNA from 1 species